UGCAGAGAUCAUGGAGGAAGGAUUCCAUAGAAUGAAAAAUCUUGAGAUGAAAAGAACAAUUAUUAUUUGCGCAGCCAUCCUAGUAUUCUUCAUUAUAGCUCUCAUUAUCAUCAUUUGUACCACUAGGAAAAAAGGAGAGAAAGAUGAAGCUGUAGCAAUAGAGGAAGGGAGAAUACUGAAGAAAAAUAAGAUUAAACCUGCAGCACCAAAGUAAAACAGACCCUGGAAUCAAGACCUCUCCAGGGUUCCUGUUGGCUACUCUACCAAUGACUGCACUACUUCCGUCCACCUAACAUCACCU